rnacentral:rRNA from 1 species
CCAGCAGCUGCGGUAAUUCCAGCUCCAAUAGCGUAUAUUAAAGUUGUUGCAGUUAAAAAGCUCGUAGUUGGAUUUCUGGUAGGAGUAGCGGCUAUAGGUCUUUGACUUAUGAAGUUGCUAUCUUCGACCAUCCUUGAAGAGAUUUAGUUUGGCAUUAAGUUGUCGAAUUAAAGAUAUUCAUCUUUUACUGUGAAAAAAUCAGAACGUUCAAAGUAAGCAUUUCGCUUUGAAUGUAUUAGCAUGGAAUAAUGAAAUAGGACUUAGGUACUACUUUGUUGGUUUAUGCACCUAGGUAAUGAUUAAUAGGGACAGUUGGGGGUAUUCGUAUUCCAAUGUUAGAGGUGAAAUUCUUGGAUUUUUGGAAGACGAACAACUGCGAAAGCAUUUACCAAGGAUGUUUUCAUUAAUCAAGAACGAAAGU